UCAGAGUUUCUCGUCACCAUUGAAUCAGAUGCAAAGUCGAAUAUGGUUGAUGCAUUGGAGUCUUUUCAUCUUUUUCAAUCAUGACAAUGGAAGAACACAGAUUAUUGAUUUGUUUAAUCAGGACUAAGUAUGAUUUAUCUUUUUCUUUUCUCCGUGUUUUAGAAUUUGUUGAAUGGAAGAACACAGAUUAUUGAUUUGUUUAAUCAGGACUAAGUAUGAUUUAUCUUUUUCUUUUCUCCGUGUUUUAGAAUUUGUUGAAUUUCUCUGACUUGUUUCAUCUCUUAAACAAUUUCUUGAGUGUCUUUAGCUUUUUAUGGACUGGUCUUCUGGUUUUUUGACCACUUGGCCAAUUGACAUUUCAAGAAUAGUUUUUAUAAAUUGUCAAGCUUUUACUAUAUAUGAUCUGACUGGCAGCAUGCAGUGUACUUAAUGGAUAUUCCCAAAAUGCAAUUAUGGAUUCUGUGCAUGUCUAACUUUACUGCUCUGAUAUGUUGUAUGAUAAUUGAUAAAUUUUUUUAAAUUUUUUUUGCUGGAUCUUAGCUUUUCUUUUUUUGGCCUUAUCUAUGGUGGAAGAGAUAUUAGUGGAGAUUAUUUAAGCUGUCCUAUGCUUCAAACCAUGCAGCAGUGUGAUGUUGAGCAAGACCGCAUAAUAUUUAAUUUUAUGUAUCAUUUAAAUCUUUUGUUGUUU
rnacentral:lncRNA from 1 species